UGAUCGGCCACAUUGGGACUGAGACACGGCCCAAACUCCUACGGGAGGCAGCAGUAGGGAAUCUUCGGCAAUGGACGGAAGUCUGACCGAGCAACGCCGCGUGAGUGAAGAAGGUUUUCGGAUCGUAAAACUCUGUUGUUAGAGAAGAACAAGGAUGAGAGUAGAAUGUUCAUCCCUUGACGGUAUCUAACCAGAAAGCCACGGCUAACUACGUGCCAGCAGCCGCGGUAAUACGUAGGUG
rnacentral:rRNA from 1 species